rnacentral:rRNA from 1 species
GACGAACGCUGGCGGCGUGCUUAACACAUGCAAGUCGAGCGGUAAGGCCCUUUCGGGGGUACACGAGCGGCGAACGGGUGAGUAACACGUGGGUGACCUGCCUUUAGCUCUGGGAUAAGCCUGGGAAACCGGGUCUAAUACCGGAUAUGACUCCGCGGCGCAUGUUGUGGGGUGGAAAGCCUUGUGCGGCUGGAGAUGGGCCCGCGGCCUAUCAGCUUGUUGGUGGGGUGAUGGCCUACCAAGGCGACGACGGGUAGCCGGCCUGAGAGGGCGACCGGCCACACUGGACUGAGACACGGCCCAGACUCCUACGGGAGGCAGCAGUGGGGAAUCUUGCGCAAUGGGCGAAAGCCUGACGCAGCGACGCCGCGUGAGGGAUGACGGCCUCGG